CAGCAACUCAGCCAACAUGCCCACACACAGCAUGGCUUGUUUUGGAGACCAAGCAGCAGGAUAUUUGACCAGCUCCUCCACCCUUUCCUUGGUAACAACUUGAGGGGGUGUGGACUCAACCCUUGCCAGGGCAGAGGGCAGCUUGGCACAGCUGGGACUUGUGGAGGUGCCCGUGGCUACUGGAAAGGGCUCGAUGGGAGAUUUGCUGUCUCUGACCGCGUAAUUUACAGAGCUGUGGACAAGCUGCUGUGUGCUCCCUUCAUCCCUUAUCUGUAAAGUGGGGCAGCAAACGGGAAGUACGGGUCUGGAGGCCUGGAUGUGAAGGAAGCAGCAAUGGAAGCAGCUGGCUCCCUCUGGUACCUAGCUGAGCGGAGAUGGGAUGCUGUGGGAGUACUCGAGGACUGUCUGCAGAAGCAAUUUCAAGAGCCUUUAUUUAAGCCAACAUCAGAUAGAGUCUCAAGCACCUGGUUCCAGCAGAGUCUAGAAGAGGCCACUGGAUUCCUUGGAAUUAGAGGUGUGAACCACCACACUGGGAAUAGAACCCAAAUCCAACAGAACAGCUAGUGCUCUUAACCAUCUCUUCCACCCCUAGAAACCCCCCACUUAGAGCAGUGGCUCUCAACCUUCCUAAUGCUGUGACCCUUUAAUACAGUUCCUCAUGUGGUGGU